rnacentral:rRNA from 1 species
CAGCAGCCGCGGUAAUACCGGCGGCCCGAGUGGCGGCCACUAUUAUUGGGCUUAAAGCGUCCGUAGCCGGGUUGGGAAGUCCUCCGGGAAAUCUGGCCGCUUAACGGUCAGAAUUCCGGGAGAUACUGCCAGCCUAGGGACCGGGAGAGGCCGAGGGUAUUCCCGGAGUAGGGGUGAAAUCCUAUAAUCCCGGGAGGACCAACUGUGGCGAAGGCGCUCGGCUGGAACGGGUCCGACGGUGAGGGACGAAGGCCAGGGGAGCAAACCGGAUUAGAUACCCGGGUAGUCCUGGCUGUAAACGAUGCGGACUUUGUGUCGGACAAGCUAUGAGCUUGUCCGGUGCCGGAGGGAAACCGUUAAGUCCGCCGCCUGGGGAGUACGGCCGCAAGGCUGAAACUUAAAGGAAUUGGCGGG